CCUCCCCAUUACCUCGGAAAGCCGCCUUGGCGAUGCGGUCGGCUCUGCCGCGGAGGCCGGAGACGGUGCGGAGCUGGAGCUGCAGAGCCAUGGGAUGGAGAAGGUCUCCCCCUGCCCCGCCGGUGAUUUAUCUUCCCCUUACACAAUUAAAUGGGAUAACGAAGGUGAGCAGGAACAACGCAGGAACCCAGCCGAGCCAACACACAGGUCCCCGACGCACGGCGCACCCGAAGCGUUCCCCCGGCUGGCUGCAAUCAGCAGAGCGAGCUCUUCUCCUCCUACGCUCGGAGCAAUCACAUCAGCCUCCCCAUUUGUCAAACCGCUGAAAUCCUUUAUAUUAAUUGCAGAAAGUUUCCAUCUUUUUCUUUCCCCUGCUUUUUGUGGGCAGCGCCAGCUCCUCGGAGAGCCGGAGAGGGGCUGGGGGUUGAGCUGGGAACCGGGAACCUCUGGGACAGGCAGGAGCAAUCUCUGCCAAAUAAUCCCCUCUGUUUUUUCCCCCUCCCAGCUCUUCCCAAACCCAAAUUGCCUACUGCAGGUCUCUCUGCACCAGCUGUGGACCCCCCCUGCACCGAGUCUCUUUGAUUUUGUAGGUUUUUUUUUGGGGAUGCAGCCGUCAGGAGCGAGGCUUUGUGGGGUAAGGCCGCCCCGCGGCAUCAUCUGCAGCUCGGAGUGCUGCGGUGGGCGGCUCUGCCUGUGCGUGCUGGGCUCGGAAGAAAAGGGAAAAAAUGCUGUGGAGGCAAUUUCUGUACAUAAAGGAGGAGCGUGAGCAAACUCAAGGGCUUGCUAAGGAAGGAGGAAACUUCCCUGUGUAAGUCAAAUCCUCCAAAUUGAGCAUCCUGCCUGGAGAGGAGCCCUGCACUUCCCCAUCCAGCACGGCGACGCCAAGAUCCUGCUGGUCUCCAGAGGAGCUGGAGCUUCUGCCUGGCUUCUCCUUGCAGAUCUGAGCUGCCCUGGGUGCGCGCAGGGACCCCCAGCCCCCUUUUAUCCCACGGGGGCUUCAGUUCUCGUGCCCUCAGCCGGGGUUUGGCAGCCCCGAGAGCGCAGCGCCCUGGCGCAGCAGCGCUCCUCCCAAAUCCCAGCUCUUCCCAAAUCCCAGCUCCAUCUCCGUGCCGUGAGCUUUCUGCCCCGGUGACUGCUGCUGGAAAGCUGCUGGCGAGCGCAGCUCUCGUGGUGCUGGUCCCUUCAUAGCCUCAGCCUGCUCGUGGUUAACGUCGGCCAC